GACGAACGCUGGCGGCGUGCCUAAUACAUGCAAGUAGAACGCUGAAGGAGGAGCUUGCUCUUCUGGAUGAGUUGCGAACGGGUGAGUAACGCGUAGGUAACCUGCCUGGUAGCGGGGGAUAACUAUUGGAAACGAUAGCUAAUACCGCAUAACAGUAGAUGUUGCAUGACAUUUGCUUAAAAGGUGCAAUUGCACCACUACCAGAUGGACCUGCGUUGUAUUAGCUAGUUGGUGGGGUAACGGCUCACCAAGGCGACGAUACAUAGCCGACCUGAGAGGGUGAUCGGCCACACUGGGACUGAGACACGGCACAGACUCCUACGGGAGGCAGCAGUAGGGAAUCUUCGGCAAUGGACGGAAGUCUGACCGAGCAACGCCGCGUGAGUGAAGAAGGUUUUCGGAUCGUAAAGCUCUGUUGUAAGAGAAGAACGAGUGUGAGAGUGGAAAGUUCACACUGUGACGGUAUCUUAACAGAAAGGGACGGCUAACUACGUG
rnacentral:rRNA from 1 species